AUGUUAAUCCCAUCAAGCAGUUGCCAACAAAUUUUUCUCUUUGGGCCAAGAUAUAUAGUGAUCAGAUCCACAUCUUUGUCCACCAAGAAGUCCAAUCUCACACCAUUGUUUUGUUAUCAUUUACUUUAUAAAAAUAAAGAAAAAAAUACAAAUAAUCAUAAAAUAUAUCAUAAAGCAAAGUUUGAAGAGGAGAUAUGGUUCGAAGGUUAUGUGACGUUCCUAAUUCCUCGUGAAGUUGUAUUCUUCUUCUCAGAAGCUUCACCGGAGGCGCGAUACCGAUUCCGCCUAUCUUUUCUCAAUCGACAUUUCAAACACCGUCGUGGAUGUAAAAUGUCAAGCCGUUAA